ACGUGGGUAACCUGCCCAAGAGAUCGGGAUAACACCUGGAAACAGAUGCUAAUACCGGAUAACAACAGAUGAUGCCUAUCAACUGUUUAAAAGAUGGUUCUGCUAUCACUCUUGGAUGGACCUGCGGUGCAUUAGCUAGUUGGUAGGGUAACGGCCUACCAAGGCGAUGAUGCAUAGCCGAGUUGAGAGACUGAUCGGCCACAUUGGGACUGAGACACGGCCCAAACUCCUACGGGAGGCAGCAGUAGGGAAUCUUCCACAAUGGACGCAAGUCUGAUGGAGCAACGCCGCGUGAGUGAA
rnacentral:rRNA from 1 species